rnacentral:tRNA from 1 species
GCUGAAGAGGUGGAAUUGGUAGACACGCUAUCUUGAGGGGGUAGUGCUCAAAAGGCGUGCGGGUUCGAGUCCCGCCUUCGGCACCA